rnacentral:lncRNA from 1 species
CGAUAGUGACCAGUUUUUCAAGAACUAUUAUAUAAGUAUGGAUUUUUCUCAUUGUUGAAGGCAGUGGGCUAUAACUGAGCUACUCAUACUUUAUUUUAACUAAUAGUUAGUUGUCUCAUUUGCAAUCAUACCACAUCUCCUAAUCUAAUUAAACACCCACAUGGAGAAAGUUUAAAAAAAAAAAAACUAAAUUGCAAUGUAUACAUGUACAUGUAUAUCAUUUUUAAACAGGAA